UACGUAGGGUGCGAGCGUUGUCCGGAAUUAUUGGGCGUAAAGAGCUCGUAGGCGGUUUGUCGCGUCGACUGUGAAAACCUACAGCUUAACUGUGGGCUUGCAGUCGAUACGGGCAGACUUGAGUUCGGUAGGGGAGACUGGAAUUCCUGGUGUAGCGGUGAAAUGCGCAGAUAUCAGGAGGAACACCGGCGGCGAAGGCGGGUCUCUGGGCCGUAACUGACGCUGAGGAGCGAAAGCGUGGGGAGCGAACAGG
rnacentral:rRNA from 1 species